GGGUCCCGCCGGCCACGUGGCAGCUCUGCGUUGGGGAGUGUGUCCCCGCACGGCGCCAGGCAGAGCCUGGACAAGCCCAAAAGGCAGCGCUGACACCUGCGCUGUUGGCACCCGGGCGGUGCUAUGUAAGGUGCUGUGAGGGCAGCCCCCGCUACCACAAGCGAAGCCGUCGGCUGCUGCAUUUGGGCGUGCAGAGCACGGGCUGCCCGCGUCCCGGGGACGAUGACUUUGCCAGCGGAGCAGCGCUGUCCUCUGCCUGCGCAGCCCCUGUGCAGGGGCGGCUGCGCCUGCCCUCUCUGCGACGGUGCCGCCUUUGCGAGCAACGGGCACGAGCUCAGAAGGACCGCCAAGGAGCCUGCAUUGUUGCCUGCCGCAGGUGGCUGGAAGAUGGGACACGGCUCUUGCAGCGCUUUGCGCCGACGUCCUCCCCGAAGGCAGGUGCAGGAAGGUGCUUCUUGCUAGCAGGAAAGAGGCGCCCCGGCGCUGCACUCGUGCUGGUUUGAGCCCACGUCUGCUGCGAACGCUGGCGAGUGUCUGGUCGAUUAAAGGAACGGGCCCGUGGCUCUCAGGUGGUAGAACAGUAAGGCAAAAUAGUGUUGACCAAGUGAGGUGACGGCUCUGGUUCUGAGCUUCCCUUUCUUCCACAGUAAUGAAAUCCUUGUUUGUAUGUAUGGAAUUACACACACACAUGUCACUUGCAUGGAGAUGUCUGUGCUUCAGUGCGAGUUCCUCUGCCACAUCUGAGGCAUUUUAAAGCAAAGGCAGCACUCAGUGGCAACAGAUGUAUCACAAUGAACUUCAGAAAGACUGGAAAAUCUGUUCAAAUAAUUCCUUCUAAUCUGCAUUACAUUAUCAUUAUAUAUAUUUGAUUUUCAUUGUUCUUAUGGUGGUGUUUAGUAUCCAGAUUAGACCAGGACCUAAUGGAUCUGAAGAGGGAAAGACCUUUUCCCGAAGAGUUUACCAUUUCUGUGGAAGAUCAACAGGUGGUUGUAAUGUAUUGAACA